rnacentral:rRNA from 1 species
GACGAACGCUGGCGGCGUGCUUAACACAUGCAAGUCGAACGGAAAGGCCCUGCUUUUGUGGGGUGCUCGAGUGGCGAACGGGUGAGUAACACGUGAGUAACCUGCCCUUGACUUUGGGAUAACUUCAGGAAACUGGGGCUAAUACCGGAUAGGAGCUCCUGCUGCAUGGUGGGGGUUGGAUAGUUUCGGCGGUUGGGGAUGGACUCGCGGCUUAUCAGCUUGUUGGUGGGGUAGUGGCUUACCAAGGCUUUGACGGGUAGCCGGCCUGAGAGGGUGACCGGCAACAAUGGGACUGAGAUACGGCCCAGACUCCUACGGGAGGCAGCAGUGGGGAAUAUUGCAGAAUGGGCGGAAGCCUGAUGCAGAAACGCCGCGUGCGGGAUGACGGCCUUCGGGUUGUAAACCGAUUUCGCCUGUGACGAAGCGUGAGUGACGGUAAUGGGUAAAGAAGCACCGGCUAACUACGUG